UGGGGAAUAUUGCACAAUGGGCGCAAGCCUGAUGCAGCCAUGCCGCGUGUAUGAAGAAGGCCUUCGGGUUGUAAAGUACUUUCAGCGAGGAGGAAGGCGUUGUGGUUAAUAACCUUAGUGAUUGACGUUACUCGCAGAAGAAGCACCGGCUAACUCCGUGCCAGCAGCCGCGGUAAUACGGAGGGUGCAAGCGUUAAUCGGAAUUACUGGGCGUAAAGCGCACGCAGGCGGUCUGUCAAGUCGGAUGUGAAAUCCCCGGGCUCAACCUGGGAACUGCAUUCGAAACUGGCAGGCUAGAGUCUUGUAGAGGGGGGGUAGAAUUCCAGGUGUAGCGGUGAAAUGCGUAGAGAUCUGGAGGAAUACCGGUGGCGAAGGCGGCCCCCUGGACAAAGACUGACGCUCAGGUGCGAAAGCGUGGGGAGCAAACA
rnacentral:rRNA from 1 species